rnacentral:misc_RNA from 1 species
AAGUCGUAACAAGGUUUCCGUAGGUGAACCUGCGGAAGGAUCAUUACAGAGAAAAUGCCCCUAGGGUAUAUCUCCCACCCUCUGCUUACAAUACCUUUGUUGCUUUGGCAGGCCCGUUGCAAAACCACUGGCUAUUGCUGGUUAGAGCCUGCCAAAGAACCCUUAAACUUUUGUAAUUUGUUGUCAGAGUAUUAUACAAUAAUUAAAACUUUCAACAACGGAUCUCUUGGUUCUG